rnacentral:rRNA from 1 species
AGAUUGAACGCUAGCGGGAUGCUUUACACAUGCAAGUCGAACGGCAGCGCGGACUUCGGUCUGGCGGCGAGUGGCGAACGGGUGAGUAAUAUAUCGGAACGUGCCCAGUAGCGGGGGAUAACUACGCGAAAGCGUGGCUAAUACCGCAUACGCCCUACGGGGGAAAGGGGGGAUCGCAAGACCUCUCACUAUUGGAGCGGCCGAUAUCGGAUUAGCUAGUUGGUGGGUAAAGCUCACCAAGGCUUCGAUCCGUAGCUGGUUUGAGAGGACGACCAGCCACACUGGGACUGAGACACGGCCCAGACUCCUACGGGAGGCAGCAGUGGGAAUUUGGACAAGUGGGGAAACCUGAUCAGCCAUCCCGCGUGUCGCGAGUGAAGGCCGUUCGGUUAGUAA